rnacentral:RNase_P_RNA from 1 species
UCAGUCGGCCGGACGGCCGCUCCGGCAGGUGCCGAAAGGCCGCCGGGGAGGAAAGUCCGGGCUCCCUUGACAUACGGUGCCGGAUAACGUCCGGCGGGGGCGACCCCAGGGAAAGUGCCACAGAGAACGAACCGCCCCGCUUCGCCUUCGGCUUCGCGGGGUAAGGGUGAAAAGGUGCGGUAAGAGCGCACCGCGGGUCCGGCAACGGAGCCGGCAUGGCAAACCCCACCGGGAGCAAAACCGAAUAGGGACGGCGUAGCGGGCUGUUCGCGAAAGCGAUAACGCCGCAGGGCGAUGUCAGGCCCGCCGUCCGGGUAGGUUGCUCGAGGCCAUGUGCAAACAUGGUCCCAGAGGAAUGGCCGUCACGUAUCGUUCGCGCAAGUGGACGGUGCCUUACAGAACCCGGCUUACAGGCCGGCUGAUAUC